GAUGAACGCUGGCGGCGUGCCUAAUACAUGCAAGUCGAGCGAACGGACGAGAAGCUUGCUUCUCUGAUGUUAGCGGCGGACGGGUGAGUAACACGUGGAUAACCUACCUAUAAGACUGGGAUAAAUUCGGGAAACCGGAGCUAAUACCGGAUAAUAUUUUGAACUGCAUGGUUCACAAGUGAAAGAAGGUCUUGCUGUCACUUAUAGAUGGAUCCGCGCUGCAUUAGUUAGUUGGUAAGGUAACGGCUUACCAAAGCAACGAUGCAUAGCCGACCUGAGAGGGUGGAUGGCCACACGGGAACAGAGACACGUUCCAGACUCCUACAGGGAGCAACGGUAGAGAAUCUUACGCGAUGGGCGAAAGCCUGACAGAGCAACACCGCGUGAAGGAUGAACGUCUACGGAUCGUAAAACUCUGUUAUUAGGGAAGAACAUAUGUGUAAGUAACUGUGCUCAUCUUGACAGUACCUAAUCAGAAAGCCACGGCUAACUACGUG
rnacentral:rRNA from 1 species